rnacentral:rRNA from 1 species
AUGAACGCUAGCGACAGGCUUAACACAUGCAAGUCGAGGGGCAGCACAGGUAGCAAUACCGGGUGGCGACCGGCGCACGGGUGAGUAACGCGUAUGCAACUUACCUAUCAGAGGGGGAUAACCCGGCGAAAGUCGGACUAAUACCGCAUGAAGCAGGGGCCCCGCAUGGGGAUAUUUGCUAAAGAUUCAUCGCUGAUAGAUAGGCAUGCGUUCCAUUAGGCAGUUGGCGGGGUAACGGCCCACCAAACCGACGAUGGAUAGGGGUUCUGAGAGGAAGGUCCCCCACAUUGGUACUGAGACACGGACCAAACUCCUACGGGAGGCAGCAGUGAGGAAUAUUGGUCAAUGGCCGAGAGGCUGAACCAGCCAAGUCGCGUGAGGGAUGAAGGUUCUAUGGAUCGUAAACCUCUUUUAUAAGGGAAUAAAGUGCGGGACGUGUCCCGUUUUGUAUGUACCUUAUGAAUAAGGAUCGGCUAACUCCGUGCCAGCAGCCGCGGUAAUACGGAGGAUCCGAGCGUUAUCCGGAUUUAUUGGGUUUAAAGGGUGCGUAGGCGGCCUUUUAAGUCAGCGGUGAAAGUCUGUGGCUCAACCAUAGAAUUGCCGUUGAAACUGGGGGGCUUGAGUAUGUUUGAGGCAGGCGGAAUGCGUGGUGUAGCGGUGAAAUGCAUAGAUAUCACGCAGAACCCCGAUUGCGAAGGCAGCCUGCCAAGCCAUGACUGACGCUGAUGCACGAAAGCGUGGGGAUCAAACAGGAUUAGAUACCCUGGUAGUCCACGCAGUAAACGAUGAUCACUAGCUGUUUGCGAUACACUGUAAGCGGCACAGCGAAAGCGUUAAGUGAUCCACCUGGGGAGUACGCCGGCAACGGUGAAACUCAAAGGAAUUGACGGGGGCCCGCACAAGCGGAGGAACAUGUGGUUUAAUUCGAUGAUACGCGAGGAACCUUACCCGGGUUUGAACGCAUUCGGACCGAGGUGGAAACACCUUUUCUAGCAAUAGCCGUUUGCGAGGUGCUGCAUGGUUGUCGUCAGCUCGUGCCGUGAGGUGUCGGCUUAAGUGCCAUAACGAGCGCAACCCUUGCCACUAGUUACUAACAGGUAAAGCUGAGGACUCUGGUGGGACUGCCAGCGUAAGCUGCGAGGAAGGCGGGGAUGACGUCAAAUCAGCACGGCCCUUACAUCCGGGGCGACACACGUGUUACAAUGGCGUGGACAAAGGGAAGCCACCUGGCGACAGGGAGCGAAUCCCCAAACCACGUCUCAGUUCGGAUCGGAGUCUGCAACCCGACUCCGUGAAGCUGGAUUCGCUAGUAAUCGCGCAUCAGCCAUGGCGCGGUGAAUACGUUCCCGGGCCUUGUACACACCGCCCGUCACACCAUGGGAGUGGGGUUCACCAGAAGACGUUUGUUUAACCGCAAGGAGGACGGCGUCCACGGUGGGCUUCAUGACUGGGGUG